rnacentral:tRNA from 1 species
UCCCUGGUAGCUCAGGGAGUACAGAAUCUGCCUGCAAUGCAGAAGACCUGGGUUCAAUCCCUGGGUUGGGAA